rnacentral:rRNA from 1 species
CUGAAAGGAGGCAGUCGUACGGGACAUCCGUCGAGGUGCUGCAUGGUUGUCGUCAGCUCGUGCCGUGAGGUGUCGGUUUAAGUGCCAUAACGAGCGCAACCCCCAUCGCCAGUUACCAGCAAGUAAAGUUGGGGACUCUGGCGAGACUGCCGGCGCAAGCUGUGAGGAAGGCGGGGAUGACGUCAAAUCAGCACGGCCCUUACGUCCGGGGCGACACACGUGUUACAAUGGCAGGUACAGAGAGAAGCGAUGCGGCGACGCAGAGCGGAACUUCAAAGCCUGUCUCAGUUCGGAUUGGAGUCUGCAACCCGACUCCAUGAAGCUGGAUUCGCUAGUAAUCGCGCAUCAGCCACGGCGCGGUGAAUACGUUCCCGGGCCUUGUACACACCGCCCGUCAAGCCAUGGAAGCCGGGAGUGCCUGAAGUGUGCAACCGCAAGGAGCGCCCUAAGGUAAAACCGGUGACUGGGGCUAAGUCGUAACAAGGUAACCGU